GCUAGCUACAGGCUUAACACAUGCAAGUCGAGGGGCAGCAUGUUGGUUGCUUGCAACCAAUGAUGGCGACCGGCGCACGGGUGAGUAACGCGUAUCCAACCUACCCAAUACUCAGGCAUAACCCGUUGAAAGACGGACUAAUUCCUGAUGGUAUGUAUUUUUCUCAUGAUUUAUACAUUAAAGAAUUUCGGUAUUGGAUGGGGAUGCGUCUGAUUAGUUUGUUGGUGAGGUAACGGCUCACCAAGACUUCGAUCAGUAGGGGUUCUGAGAGGAAGGUCCCCCACAUUGGAACUGAGACACGGUCCAAACUCCUACGGGAGGCAGCAGUGAGGAAUAUUGGUCAAUGGAUGAAAAUCUGAACCAGCCAAGUAGCGUGCAGGAUGACGGCCCUAUGGGUUGUAAACUGCUUUUAUGUGAGAAUAAAGUUAGGUAUGUAUACUUAUUUGCAUGUAUCACAUGAAUAAGGACCGGCUAAUUCCGUGCCAGCAGCCGCGGUAAUACGGAAGGUCCAGGCGUUAUCCGGAUUUAUUGGGUUUAGAGGGUGCGUAGGCCGUUUGAUAAGCGUGCUGUGAAAUAUAGUGGCUCAACCUCUAUCGUGCAGCGCGAACUGUUGAACUUGAGUGCGUAGUAGGUAGGCGGAAUUCGUGGUGUAGCGGUGACAUGCUUAGAUAUCACGAAGAACUCCGAUUGCGAAGGCAGCUUA
rnacentral:rRNA from 1 species